UGAGUGCGAGCUGCUACGGCAGCGAAGUUGGUGAUGUCAUGCUUCCAAGAAAAGCCCUAUACCCGUUAAGGCAUCAUGGCCUGUACCCGAAACCGACACAGGUGGGGUGGUAGAGAAUACCGAGGGGCGCGAGGUAACUCUCUCUAAGGAACUCGGCAAAAUGGCCCCGUAACUUCGGGAGAAGGGGUGCCACCGCAAGGCGGUCGCAGUGAAGAGGCCCAGGCGACUGUUUACCAAAAACACAGGUCUCCGCUAAGUCGCAAGACGAUGUAUGGGGGCUGACGCCUGCCCAGUGCCGGAAGGUUAAGGAAGCUGGUCAGCGCAAGCGAAGCUAGCGACUGAAGCCCCGGUGAACGGCGGCCGUAACUAUAACGGUCCUAAGGUAGCGAAAUUCCUUGUCGGGUAAGUUCCGACCCGCACGAAAGGCGUAACGAUCUGGGCGCUGUCUCGGAGAGAGGCUCGGCGAAAUAGAAUUGUCUGUGAAGAUGCGGACUACGUGCACCCGGACAGAAAGACCCUAUGAAGCUUUACUGUAGCUUGGUAUUGUGCCCGGGCUCGCAAUGCGCAGGAUAGGUGGGAGGCUUUGAUCAUCGGCUUGCGGGUCGAUGUGAGCCAACGGUGAGAUACCACUCUUUGCGAGCUAGGGUUCUAACGGCCACCCGUCAUCCGGGGGCCGGACAGUACCUGGUGGGCAGUUUGACUGGGGCGGUCGCCUCCUAAAAGGUAACGGAGGCGCGCAAAGGUUUGCUCAGGCUGGUUGGAAAUCAGCCGACGAGUGUAAAAGCAGAAGCAAGCUUGACUGUGAGACCAACAAGUCGAACAGGGAGGAAACUCGGCUUUAGUGAUCCGACGGUUCUGAGUGGAAGGGCCGUCGCUCAACGGAUAAAAGUUACUCUAGGAUAACAGGCUGAUCUCCCCCAAGAGUUCACAUCGACGGGGAGGUUUGGCACCUCGAUGUCGGCUCAUCGCAACCUGGGGCUGAAGUCGGUCCCAAGGGUUGGGCUGUUCGCCCAUUAAAGCGGUACACGAGCUGGGUUCAGAACGUCGUGAGACAGUUCGGCCCAUAUCCGGUGCACGCGCAGGAAUAUUGAGAGGAUUUCUCCCUAGUACGAGAGGACCGGGAGGAACGCACCUCUGGUGUACCAGUUAUCGUGCCAACGGUAAACGCUGGGUAGCCAUGUGCGGAGUGGAUAACCGCUGAAAGCAUCUAAGUGGGAAGCCCACCUCAAGAUGAGUAUUCCCAUGGCGUAAGCCAGUAAGGUCACGGGAAGAACACCCGUCGAUAGGCUCUAUGUGGAAGCGCAGUAAUGCGUGAAGCAGAGGAGUACUAAUAGACCGAGGGCUUGACCG
rnacentral:rRNA from 1 species